rnacentral:rRNA from 1 species
UACGAAGGGUGCAAGCGUUAAUCGGAAUUACUGGGCGUAAAGCGUGCGUAGGCGGCUUUUUAAGUCGGAUGUGAAAUCCCCGGGCUUAACCUGGGAAUGGCAUCCGAUACUGGAGAGCUGGAGUUUGGGAGAGGGUGGUGGAAUUCCCGGUGUAGCGGUGAAAUGCGUAGAGAUCGGGAGGAACAUCAGUGGCGAAGGCGGCCACCUGGCCUAAAACUGACGCUGAGGCACGAAAGCGUGGGGAGCAAACAGG